rnacentral:rRNA from 1 species
UAAGACACCGUUGAUCCAAUAGUGGAUCAGUAUUUUUAGCAGCCCUAUUCGGGCUAUCUGAUAAAGUGUUAAAAAAAACUAGAAGCUGAUAGUUGUUAGUGAUAUCGCGGUCCGUCUGGGGAUUUAAAUUUGCAGCAGCAGCAGCACAAGCUUUUGCAAAGUGAAAGAGUAAUUUUUAAGGAAGAAUUGAAUCGGGGUAUAGGUAGGGUUAGCGGAGAGUUGAAAGGAAAAUUUAGGAAAAUUUCUAACGAGUUUAGAUGCAAAAUGAAUUGAACACACAUUGGGAAUUGCGAUAGCUUAAUCAGACUCUCUGCUUUGUUGGUUGAUCGCAUUCUCGUUAAAUGAAGUAAAGGCAAAGGGUGCUGUGAAAUAGUGUCCAGCGGAUAAAAGGAAGAAAAUUUGAAAAAAAUUUAUAGAGUCGAUUUUUAACGCGUAAAGCAAGAUUUUACGCGUAAAACGCAUUUGCACUAUUUUUGGAAAUAUUUUGAAAAAGUAGUGCAAUUAAGGCAUGGCAAGUAAAUGAAGUGUAAGUGCGCAAAAAAUGAGGGUUUGAAAGAGAAAAAAAUAAAUAUUUUUUCGGUAGAGAGGGCAGUACUUGUCAGAGAUGUUAGGUAAAUUAGAGAAUUGAAGGCGCCGCAAAAUAGUAAAAAUUGGUGCCUUGAAAAGUUGAUGGGUUUAGUUGGGACAAAAAAAAUCGUCUACGCUGUAACGUAGGCUGAAACUAGAGGAGAAAAUAGGAAAAGCUAAGAGGGAAGCAUUUAUGUAAUUUUUAGGAAAAAAGAGAACGACUCUGAAAUGCUUGAGUAGAGAGUAAAAAAAUAUUUUUUAAUUUUAUUUUGCUUUUUUUGAAGCUAACAGAUUAUUUGUGUGGUAAAAUCCGUACCAAACGCUUUGGUAGACAAGUAGCUGCAACAGGGUGUGGCAGGUAAAAUAAUUAUUAAAGCAAAAAAAUGGCAAAUUAAAAAAUAAAUUAAAAUUUUUUUCGGCUUAAAAGCUUUCCAUUUUUUCAGCGAAUAAAGUGUGCGUGGAAAUUAAAAAAGCGCCCCCUUCAUUAAGGAAUGACAAGGACAGUUGGAAUAAAGGUGGAAAUUUUUAAGAGAUUUUAAUCCUUCUUUAUAAAUUUUUAGCGGGAAAAAUAAAAGAGCUAUAUUUAUUUGAAAAGAAUUAAAAUAUAGGCGAGGAUUGAUUAAAACUUUCAUCAAGCUUUAUAGAAGCUAUAUAUGCUAGGGUGCCAAAAUAAUAUAAAGCCCGUUCGUUCCCUUCCCUUAUCUGGGCUUGGGCUUGGGCUGGGCUGGGCUGAGCUGAAAAGUCACCCUGUAGGGGGGUGAGAGCCGCGCGGAGUCUUGAGGUGCAGGCUGUGUAGCCAGCCAGGCUGGGUCUGAAUAAGGCCUGGCCUGGCUUGGCGGAGCGCGGUUAAAACUAGAGUGUGGGUCUAUACACAGUUGUUCUAUGCACUCUCAACUCUCGAGUCUAACUGUUUAGCAGCAAUGUGUGUUUGGCGGUUUAGGCGGGAAUCUCUGCGCUGUACCCUAGCCUCUAAUCAAGGCUGGCUGUGCGACACGUUAGAGACCCUGCCUUCUGCCCCCUUGUGUGGUUGCUAGAAAUCGGCCUAAAGAGCUGCUUGAAGAAAGCAGGUUUCUUGGGCUCUGCCCAAAUCGUCAACUAUUGAGCUUCUGCCUUGGCUUGGAGUUGGGCUUGUCCAAGCAUGUGCAAACGCAGGCAUAUCAGCCCGCUAAGGUGCGCUGAUCGCGGUCCAGACUGAGAAGCAAGCUUUAUAAUAGAGAGUGCGUGUAUUUGAACUGAGAGUUGGCUAUUCUGCCAUGAAAUACUGGCAGAUAUAACCAAUCCUAGUAUUGCCUCUAUGUUGGUGAUUAUAGAGGUUGACUUGUUCUGUCAAAGACCAGUCUAUACAUAGACUUGGUUAGCGAGUGAACAAAAACAUUGUGUGGAUGCGGAGUGGAUAUCUAAAACACACGGUAGCUAUUGCUACAGUGUCUAUCAAAGAUUCGUUGCAAUAUUGCACACAGAGUCUUGACCAAGUUGGCUUAUUAAAAAUAACCAACUUAGCUAUCUGGUUGAUCCUGCCAGUAGUCAUAUGCUUGUCUCAAAGAUUAAGCCAUGCAUGUCUAAGUACAAACCUUAAUACGGUGAAACCGCGAAUGGCUCAUUAAAUCAGCUAUGGUUCCUUAGAUCGUCUCAUCCUACUCGGAUAACUGUGGAAAAUCUAGAGCUAAUACGUGCUUACAAGCCCUGACCUCACGGGAGGGGCGCAUUUAUUAGAUCAAAACCAAUCGGGGCUUGCCCCGUCUGCUUGGUGACUCUGGAUAACUUUUGUGCUGAUCGCAUGGCCUCUGCGCUGGCGACGUAUCUUUCAAGUGUCUGCCCUAUCAACUUACGAUGGUAGGUGAUAUGCCUACCAUGGUUAUAACGGGUAACGGGGAAUCAGGGUUCGAUUCCGGAGAGGGAGCCUGAGAAACGGCUACCACAUCUAAGGAAGGCAGCAGGCGCGCAAAUUACCCACUCCCGGCACGGGGAGGUAGUGACGAAAAAUAACGAUACGGGACUCUUUUGAGGCCCCGUAAUUGGAAUGAGUACACUUUAAAUCCGUUAACAAGUAUCUAUUGGAGGGCAAGUCUGGUGCCAGCAGCCGCGGUAAUUCCAGCUCCAAUAGCGUAUAUUAAUGUUGCUGCAGUUAAAAAGCUCGUAGUUGUUUACUUUGAAAAAAUUAGAGUGCUCAAAGCAGGCCAUUAGCCGGAAUACUUCAGCAUGGAAUAAUGGAAUAGGACUUCGGUUCUAUUUUGUUGGUUUUCGGAACCCGAGGUAAUGAUUAAGAGAGACAGACGGGGGCAUUCGUACUGCGGUGUUAGAGGUGAAAUUCUUGGAUCGCCGCAAGACGAACAACUGCGAAAGCAUUUGCCAAGAAUGUUUUCAUUAAUCAAGAACGAAAGUCAGAGGUUCGAAGACGAUCAGAUACCGUCCUAGUUCUGACCAUAAACGAUGCCAACUGGCGAUAGUUUUUAGGUUCCGGGGGAAGUAUGGUUGCAAAGCUGGAACUU